rnacentral:rRNA from 1 species
UACGUAGGGGCGAGCGUUGUCCGGAAUGACUGGGCGUAAAGGGCGUGUAGGCGGUCGAUUAAGUCCGGAGUGAAAGUCCUGCUUUCAAGGUGGGAAUUGCUUUGGAAACUGGUAGGCUUGAGUGCGGAAGAGGUAAGUGGAAUUCCCAGUGUAGCGGUGAAAUGCGUAGAGAUUGGGAGGAACACCAGUGGCGAAGGCGACUUACUGGGCCGUAACUGACGCUGAGGCGCGAAAGCGUGGGGAGCGAACAGGAUUAGAUACCCCGGUAGUCCCUGAGCGGGCUGG